CAGUGUGGAUUUGUAAAACGU
rnacentral:miRNA from 1 species